rnacentral:rRNA from 1 species
AACCGACCCGUCUAGGAACACGGACCAAGGAGUCUGACGACUGCGCGAGUCUUCGGGUGGCAACCCCGUGGGCGUAAUGAAAGUGACUUGGCCUUCAGGGCCGACCGACCGUGAUCUUUUGUGAAUGGUUUGAGUACGAGCGUAGUUGCCGGGACCCGAAAGAUGGUGAACUAUGCCUGAGUAGGGUGAAGCCUGAAGAAAUUCAGGUGGAGGCUCGUAGCGAUACUGACGUGCAAAUCGUUCGUCGAACUUGGGUAUAGGGGCGAAAGACUAAUCGAACCA